UACAGAGGUCCCAAGCGUUUGUUCGGAUUCACUGGGCGUAAAGGGUGCGUAGGUGGUGAGGUAAGCCGGAUGUGAAAGCUCCGAGCUCAACUCGGAAAUGGCAUUGGAAACUACCUUGCUCGAGGGUUUGAGGGGGGACUGGAAUACUUGGUGUAGCAGUGAAAUGCGUAGAUAUCAAGUAGGACACCAGUGGCGAAGGCGAGUCCCUGGAAAACUCCUGACACUGAGGCACGAAAGCUAGGGGAGCAAACAGG
rnacentral:rRNA from 1 species